rnacentral:rRNA from 1 species
CGAAUGGGGAGAUUCAUCGUCAGCUCAUUUUGUAUAUGUAUAAGUUAUGAUGCGGGUUACUACUUGUAGUAUUGCCUGCACAUUCUUGUAUAUUUAGUUCCAAGAUGUUGUCGGCGUCCACUUCUCCCCUAGUAGGACGUCGCGCCCUGUUGGGUGUCGGUCUACGGCCCAAGUGAUACCCUUUAAUGUAAUUUAAAAAACAUUGAAGACCCUUGGUGUUUUCUGACCGGCUACUUGGCAGUAUUCGUACGGUAUUUAGCCGCUAAAUUUAUUAAGCGUCCAUAUCCAUCACAAGCGAGGCUAAUUUACUGAUAGUACGGACCUAGUGCCGUCGUUGGUA